rnacentral:rRNA from 1 species
AGUGAACGCUGGCGGUAGGCCUAACACAUGCAAGUCGAACGGCAGCACAGUAAGAGCUUGCUCUUACGGGUGGCGAGUGGCGGACGGGUGAGGAAUACAUCGGAAUCUACUUUUUCGUGGGGGAUAACGUAGGGAAACUUACGCUAAUACCGCAUACGACCUACGGGUGAAAGCAGGGGAUCUUCGGACCUUGCGCGAUUGAAUGAGCCGAUGUCGGAUUAGCUAGUUGGCGGGGUAAAGGCCCACCAAGGCGACGAUCCGUAGCUGGUCUGAGAGGAUGAUCAGCCACCCUGGAACGGAGACACGGUCCAGACUCCUACGGGAGGCAGCAGUGGGGAAUAUUGGACAAUGGGCGCAAGCCUUAUCCAGCCAUACCGCGUGGGUGAGGAAGGCCUUCGGGUUGUAAAGCCCUUUUGUUGGGAAAGAAAAGCAGCAGGUUAAUACCCCGCUGUUCUGACGGUACCCAAAGAAUAAGCACCGGCUAACUUCGUG